rnacentral:rRNA from 1 species
CCGUUAUAACCGGCGAUACCCGAAUGGGGAAACCCAGUGUGACUCGUCACACUAUCAUUAACUGAAUCCAUAGGUUAAUGAGGCGAACCGGGGGAACUGAAACAUCUAAGUACCCCGAGGAAAAGAAAUCAACCGAGAUUCCCCCAGUAGCGGCGAGCGAACGGGGAGGAGCCCAGAGCCUGAAUCAGCAUGUGUGUUAGUGGAAGCGUCUGGAAAGGCGCGCGAUACAGGGUGACAGCCCCGUACACAAAAGCGCAUGUGCUGUGAGCUCGAUGAGUAGGGCGGGACACGUGGUAUCCUGUCUGAAUAUGGGGGGACCAUCCUCCAAGGCUAAAUACUCCUGACUGACCGAUAGUGAACCAGUACCGUGAGGGAAAGGCGAAAAGAACCCCGGCGAGGGGAGUGAAAAAGAACCUGAAACCGUGUACGUACAAGCAGUGGGAGCACAGGUUUACCUGUGUGACUGCGUACCUUUUGUAUAAUGGGUCAGCGACUUAUAUUCUGUAGCAAGGUUAACCGAAUAGGGGAGCCGGAGGGAAACCGAGUCUUAAUUGGGCGUUAAGUUGCAGGGUAUAGACCCGAAACCCGGUGAUCUAGCCAUGGGCAGGUUGAAGGUUGGGUAACACUAACUGGAGGACCGAACCGACUAAUGUUGAAAAAUUAGCGGAUGACCUGUGGCUGGGGGUGAAAGGCCAAUCAAACCGGGAGAUAGCUGGUUCUCCCCGAAAGCUAUUUAGGUAGCGCCUCGUGAAUUCAUCUCCGGGGGUAGAGCACUGUUUCGGCUAGGGGGCCAUCCCGGCUUACCAACCCGAUGCAAACUGCGAAUACCGGAGAAUGUUAUCACGGGAGACACACGGCGGGUGCUAACGUCCGUCGUGAAGAGGGAAACAACCCAGACCGCCAGCUAAGGUCCCAAAGUCAUGGUUAAGUGGGAAACGAUGUGGGAAGGCCCAGACAGCCAGGAUGUUGGCUUAGAAGCAGCCAUCAUUUAAAGAAAGCGUAAUAGCUCACUGGUCGAGUCGGCCUGCGCGGAAGAUGUAACGGGGCUAAACCAUGCACCGAAGCUGCGGCAGCGACACUGUGUGUUGUUGGGUAGGGGAGCGUUCUGUAAGCCUGUGAAGGUGU